UUAUAUUUAUAGUUAUUAUUAUAAUAUCUAUCUAUGGACGGUUCACACCACGUCAGUCUGGCCCCGUGCUAAGUACCCGAAGGACUUAUGAUACAGGUACCAUACAACAGAAAUAUAUUUAAUACUUUUAUACUAUACAUAAUUAUAUUUAAGAUUUUUAU